UAUUAUAAUUGUUAUUAAUAAUAAUAACAACAAUAAUAAUACAUGACCAACAGAGCUUGUUAACCCAAUAUUGUUCCACUUGCAGAGCAGGUAGUGAGAGUGGAGUGCACAAGAGAUGGAUUACCCUUCCAGCACGCUGACUGUAGGCCACCUGUCUGAAGCGGCCCAGAGGAUUAUGGCAGCACUAAGGGCACAGUACGCAGGCAGAGUAGACAGGAAACGCCACAGUGAGUCAGGCAGUGCAGCAGUGGAUGCAUUUGAUGCUGAGCUCAUUCCAUCCCAAAAUGAUUCCAGCUACACCAAAAAUCCAAAACUACAUGUACAGGCUGAUAUCUCCAGCUCGCCAAUGAAACAAGGAAGACUUCAUCAGCCGACCCUUAUGGAGAAGCCCAAGCUCAAUGCUAAUCCACAGUGGAUAGGACUUGAAGAAAAUGAAAGACAUUUCUUAAAUCGCUCCCUUGAGAUGACACUCCAAAGUCAGCCCAACAUGCCUGUGUUUCAGUCCAGAGAGAACACAUUCAAUGAAUGGGAAGAAGAUAAGUCAGGCAAUUGGAUGCUAAGCAAUCACAGACAUCUGUUAGAAUUAAAUGCUGGUAGUAGCACAGAGCUGAGCAAAAACCCUGCAGAGUUAGAUCC